UACAGGGGGGCAAGCGUUGUUCGGAAUUACUGGGCGUAAAGGGCUCGUAGGCGGCCAACUAAGUCACACGUGAAAUCCCCAGGCUUAACCUGGGAACUGCGUGUGAUACUGGAUGGCUUGAGUGCAGGAGAGGAACGCGGAAUUCCAGGUGUAGCGGUGAAAUGCGUAGAUAUCUGGAGGAACACCGGUGGCGAAGGCGGCGUUCUGGACUGCAACUGACACUGAGGAACGAAAGCCAGGGGAGCAAACGGG
rnacentral:rRNA from 1 species